rnacentral:rRNA from 1 species
CAGCAGCCACGGGAAAACGGUGGGGCUAGCGUUGUUCGGAAUUACUGGGCGUAAAGCGCACGUAGGCGGCUUGGUAAGUUAGAGGUGAAAGCCUGGAGCUCAACUCCAGAAUUGCCUUUAAGACUGCCGAGCUAGCAGGUGAGAGAGGUAAGUGGAAUUCCGAGUGUAGAGGUGAAAUUCGUAGAUAUCGGAAGGAACACCUGUGGCGAAAGCGGCUUUCUGGACUGUAACUGACGCUGAGGCUCGAAAGCCAGGGGAGCGAACGGGAUUAGAUACCCCCGUAGUCCCUGUCUCUUAUACA